CCUGAGUCAGUUGAGGACAGAAGAAAGUCAGCUCUUCCUCAAAGCAUCACAGAGAGACUGGUUGCUGAAGAGACACGAUUGAAGCAAAAGCAUCCAGCCACGGUCACCGAACAUUGUGGUGAGGAGCGGUCCUCUGUCCUGACUUCAUUCAGACGUCAGGAAUGGAGGCGGAUGAAGAUGCCACAACCCUGGGUUUCAACAACUCGAAACUGGUCUACAAACUGAGAAAAGAGAAACUUCGUUCUGUGGUUAUCACAUCAGAGAGAGAAGAUAUCCAAAAAUUUAAGAGAUUAGCAUUGUUUUGCAUAAGGCAACACAUAUGCCAAGUUAUCUGUCCUCCAUCAGUGCGGUUCACAGGAGUCCUGGUGGACGGUUUCCUGGGAGGUUGGGUCUUACCAACAACGUUUGCAACUCAGUGCGAUUUGUGUUAAAAUGAGUCUUCAAAAAGACUGGCCAACUCCAUUUAAAUGGCUAACUCCAUUUGUAUCUUACAUAGUCUUUUGUGUCUGUCUUCACUAUUCUUCUAACGCG
rnacentral:lncRNA from 1 species